rnacentral:lncRNA from 1 species
CCUAGACUGCCCUGGGUGUCUGUUCCCUCAUCUGAAAAGCGUGAGGCCCACAGCCGUCACUGCACACAGCUGCCGUCACUGCACACAGCUGCCUCCACUGUCGGGAAGCCUCCCUCCUGCCCACCUGCCCAGGAAAAGCUGCGCUAGCGUGCCCUGGGCAAGCGCCCUGCUGGCCACCUGCCUGCACCUGGGUUGGGGGUGGGGGGACCAGCUGAGCACCCAAAUCCUGGCCUCUGCCCCCAGCGCCAGAGCAGAUUUCAGAACAAUUUGUAAUGACGAAACCCCACGUUUCCCUUUAUCUCUGGGCAAGGCUUUCUUCGUCCUAGGCAAUUAAUCCAAAAGCAACACCAGCCGAGUGGGCUGGACUCCUUGAAGAUCAAAACUGCCCAGCGCAGGCAUUAAUUAAGUCAUUAUCUCAGGCCCCCAGCGACUAGGGAUCAGGCCUUUCCAGUUCACACUCUCCAGAAAGGGAGAUAACUGCCCCGCCAGCAGGGUGGGAAGGCUCUCUCUCCAUGUUGUUUUAACUCCCUAUUAAAUCAUUUUAUUUUAAAUACACAAACAGAAAUGAAGUUGAAAAUAGCACAGGAGCCCACUAUCACUGUGUGAACAUUUUGUGAAUGAAGACAUGUAUGAAAGGAUGUUUGGAGGCUUCAAGAAACGAAAGCCGAGAGUCUAGCUAGACCAGAGCCAUCCAGCCCAGGAGCGAUGGCCACGUGUGGCCGCUGGACACGAGAGACGUGGCCAGUCCAAACUGUGCAGUGCGGUAAGGGCAGAACACAUGCCAGCUUUCGAAGGCUUAGUAAAGAAUGCAAAAUUUCUCAAUUGGGAAUUUUUGUAUGAAUUUCAGGUUGAAAAAAACAUUUUGGAUAUAUGGUGUUAAAUAAACAUGAUUACAAUGACUUUCGCUGUCAGCCUCCCGGAGGCUCAUUUUGCUCCUCUGGGCCACAGCCAGCUCAGAGGGUUGCUCUAGGAAAUAUCUACACGUUCUUGAAGCACAGGUUUAUGUGCCAGGCACUGUACUAAGUGCUGGGGACACGGCGUUAAGACCAGGCCCUCACGGAGCCCUCACUCUCUGAGGAGGAACAAUAAGUCAGAGAGCGCGCGAGUGCAGCCCUUCAGGCAAAGGAUUUCAGGCCCAGGUCAGGAAGGCCUUGUCUGAGGAGUCUGAGAAGAAGUCAAUUGACAACAGCUAGAACAUCUAGGUCAGGCACUCCAGGCCGACACGACAAAGCAGGUGCAAAGGCCCCAGGGCGGGAACCAGCGUGGCUUGUUCACAGAACAAGGAGGUAGAUCGCUUGCCCUUGGGACCAAAGGAAGGCUCUGGAUUUUAUUCUAGGGGCAGUGGAAGCCGUUGGAGGGCCUCAGGCAGGAACACAAGGUGUCGUGGCAGAAAGGAAGAAGGGGCCGGGCACGGUGGCCCACACCCGUCAUCCCAGCACUUUGGGAGGGAGGCCAAGGCAGGAGGAUCGCUUCAAUCCAGGAGUUCAAGAUCAGCCUGGGCAACACAGCAAGACCCCGUCUCUACUAAAACCCUAAAACUUAGCCAGGCUUGGUGGCAUGUGCCUAAGGUCCCAGGUCCUCGGGAGACUAAGGCAGGAGGAUUGCUUAAGCCCAAGAGUUUGAGGCUGCAGUGAACUAUUAUCACACCACUGCACUCAGCCUGGGUGACAGAGUGACUCUGUCUCAAAACUAAAUAAAUAAACAAUAAUUGUG